CAGCAGCCGCGGUAAUACGGAGGGUGCAAGCGUUACUCGGAAUUACUGGGCGUAAAGCGUGCGCAGGCGGUUCGUUAAGACAGAUGUGAAAUCCCCGGGCUCAACCUGGGAACUGCAUUUGUGACUGCAUGACUAGAGUACGGCAGAGGGGGAUGGAAUUCCGCGUGUAGCAGUGAAAUGCGUAGAUAUGCGGAGGAACACCGAUGGCGAAGGCAAUCCCCUGGGCCUGUACUGACGCUCAUGCACGAAAGCGUGGGGAGCAAACAUGAUUAGAUACCCCCGUAGUCCCUGUCUCUUAUAA
rnacentral:rRNA from 1 species